CGUCACGCCAACUGAGUCGGGGGUACUUGAAAUACCUUAUCCUAACCCGCAAGGGAGGGAGGGUAUUAGAGUACACUCGGCAAGGAGGGCGAAGUCGUAACAAGGCAGCCGUACGGGAACGUGCGGCUGGAUCACCUCCUUU
rnacentral:rRNA from 1 species